GUCUCGGCGUCCCCCCCUCCCCCCGCCUUGUUUCAAAAUAAAUAACUUUAUUUAUAACUUUAAAAAAAAAAAACUUAAAUGGUGGCAGUAGUAAAAUCCUCAGGGUGCCCCCACCCUUGGCUUUAGUCAUUCAGAUGAUCCAAAACACCUUCUUUUGGUGAUGAGUUGAUUAAACUAUGACAGUUAUACCAAUAGACCCUAUUAAUUGAAAACACAAGUUAAAAAUUUAAUCUGUUAACCUAUAAGAGCUGGCUAUUUACAGAGUAAAUAAAACAAACGUUUGAGUUCAGCGCUGAAAAAAAAAAAAAGAUUUUAUUAGUCCUUAAGACAGACUUCACAAAAAUAGUUGAGCAGUUCCACAACCCUUUGUUUUCUACUGUUAAGCGUCCUUUGAUAAUGAAGACAAAAGGGAAGGAGAGUUAGAAAGUAUUUUAAAUCUUGGCCAUAGCAAUUGCAAAAAUUUUGUUUUCUCAAACUCCUAAGCCAUUUCUCUUGAAGUCAUUAUAAAGUGCUUCUUUUAAUCAAGAUGAAAUGAAAUACUACUUACUAGCUGACAUAUUGGAAACAGAUGUUCUGAUGAGAGUUUGUUUUUUUUUUUAAAGAGUUUGUUCCAUUGGGUGGUUGCCUAAGCAAGCAAAGGCUUGGGCCCCUGUCCCCUAGGGCUGACUACAAAACACCAGUGAUGGCUUAUUUCUAGAUCCUUCUUUUUUUAUGUUUCAAGCACUGGACUGAACGGGAAAGGGGGAGGAGGUGUGCAGUUUUCCCUGCCCCCACCCUUCUUUCAGUCAGCCAAAGCCCUUGCUCUUCCUCCCGGAGAGACCUUAAGGAUACCCUUCUCUUCCUUUGACCUAAGUUCCCUCUAAGUGGUGAUACUUACUGGGUGUUGGGUACUCUCACCCCCACGGAUCUAAAAAGAAAAAAGGUUUCAAUGUCCCUAUUUCGGUUCUAUCUGAGAACACCUCCCCCCCCCCCCCCCAAGUAUUCUAGAUCUCAUUCUUUGGAGGCGAGACUUGAUGUACCUCUUCCUGAGAGAGGGCACAACUAUUCUGACCCGGGGAAGACAAGAGUCAGGUGUCUGCGUCCUUCCACCACCACUUGGCAUCCAAGGCUCAGCAAAGCUUCGGUCCUAGAGGCCCCCCUCCCCCCGCCAACAACCCAGAAAAAGGAAUUUCCUUUCCCAUAGAGUCUGUUCCUUUCAUUCCUUAUAGGGUAAUGUUGCUCCCUUUCCCAAGUCUUUUUACCCAGGAUCUGAUAGCUUAAGUUCCACAGUCUUUUUAUUUCCUGACUCCUUGCCAAUCACAGCCCUCCCCGCCUUUUGCCUCCCCUCCCCCUUCAGGACUCUUAACCUCUUAUCCUUCUUCUGACUAGUGGUCUUAUUUUACCAAGGGUUGAACUGCCUCCCCACCCUCCAAACUCCUCCCGGCUUUUAUUUUUUCCUGGGACACUUGUGCUCAAGGUAAUGGUCUGUCCUUGGACAGUGUGCAUCUUGCUUUCCCUAGGACAGCAGUCAGGACUACAGAAGCUAUAGCUUUGAAGGGCAAGGUCAGGAAUCCAGGUCAUAUACCAGAAAGAUUGAUAGCAGACUCUUGAAGACCACCUUAUAUAAUGCUACAGAGCGCUAUGUGAGAUCCCCAAAACGCGUGCCUCCCUCUGUUGGGAUAUAUACACUGGCCACUUCCAGAUUCAGCAGCUUAUUUCAUCUAAAAAUCUUUCUAAGGGCACCUUGGUGGCCAACCCCGGCUCAGGUCACGAUUUCGCCGUUCACAAGUUUGAGCCCCACGUUGGGCUCUGUGCUGACAGCUCAGAGCCUGAAGCCUGCUUCGCAUUCGGUGUCGCCCUCCCUCUCUCUGCCCUCCCCGCUCGUACUCCGUCUCUUCUCUCUCAAAAAUAAACAUGAAAAAAAAACUUUAAAAAUCUUUCUAGGGCUAAGGGCAAUCAGAAAUUUCCCCAAGCAUUUUAAAGACCCUCACAACGAAAAGGGUCCUUUUGUCAUUGGAUAGUUUGGUGGGUGCUAAUAACUUAUGCAAACAAGGGGGAUAUAUUCUCCUCUAGGUAGAGAUACGUCAUUAGGCAUAGGACUCCCGAUAACACGCUUACCACGUGUAGUGGACUCUGAAGCUAACAAUCCAUGAAGCAGACAACAAACUCCAAAGUGGGCAUUGACCUGUCAGAUUAUGAGAAAAAACAUAAUUUGCCCUCCUUAUACUUAAAAUAUAUACUUGAGGGGCACCUGAGUGGCUGAGGCAGUUAAGCGUCCAACUUCGGCUCAGGUCAUGAUCUCGUGGUUCAUGAGUUCGAGCCCUGCAUCAGGUGCUGUGCUGACAGCUCGGAGCCCGGAGCCUGCUCCGGAUUCUGUGUCUCCUUCUGUCUGUCUCUCAAAAAUAAUAGGCAUUAAAAAUAAAAGAAAAUAUAUAUUUGAAAUCUACUUAAAAUUUACUUAAAAUAGCUCUCCCAAGAUGCUUUAGCCUCAUCUGAUCUCAGGCACAGGAGUGUGCCCCUUUUUGUCCUCCCCUAAAUCACAGCAUUCUAGAAAAAUCCUAGAUUUGGGAAUCACUUAAAAGUCUCAGAGCAGACAGGCAUUUUUUUCCCUAGUCGUGGACCGAGCUGCCAGAGGCCUUUUCUUUGUUGAGGACCGUUGGGGGCCCCCUUCCCUACCACCUAGCUCUUGACUUCGCAGAGUUGAUCAAGUGGGACAUUGUCUCCUACAUUUCAGAAAGUUCUCCUAACGCACUAUUCAAAGAGUGGCCGAUCUGAGAACUUUGUUACUGGGUCACAACAAGCUAAGGAGUAUUAUCCUGAGUGGAAAUCAGCUAUGUCACUGAGUGUAUUUAAUUUAGCAGACUUUUUUUUUUUUUUUUUCCCAUAGACUCAGUUGAAGAAGGAAAUGAUGAAUCGAUUUACGUUCGGGUGCAAGUUCCUUGUCUUGUUGUGGUCCAGCACUUUGAACAGAACUUGCCUCGAAGUCUAUAACAGACCAUUUUAGGCAUGCUUCUCUUCAGAAAUGAAGCGCGUUCCGCUCUGUCUUCAGUGUCUUUUAUUACCUAAUUUCUUUAAACAAAAAUGGCCCUGAAGGCCAUUGGGUCAAAGUAAAUCUCAUUUUCAUUUCUUUUUUUUUUUUUUUAAUUUUUUAAGUGUAUUUAUUUAUUUCGAGAGAGGGGGAGUGCGAGCGGGAUAGGGACAGAGAGAGAACGGGGAGAGAAUCUGCCUAAUGCAGGGCUUGAACUCAAAAACCGGGAGAUCAUGACCUGAGCCAAGAUCAACGGUUGGACGCUUAACUGACUGAGCCACCCAGGCGUCCCUUAUUUUCACUUCUGCCUCGCCUCUCUUCACAGAAAUCCACUGACUGCUCCCUCUGUGUCUCUCCGUUCUUGAAAAAGCACUUCAGAAUAACCCCAUCUUCCCUCUCCAGAAGUCUGUCUCUCUCUCAUAGAAGCGUGGUGCUUAUUUGGUAACUCACGCUCUAUCAAGCAUCUUACAAGACGAUGUAUGUGUGUAGCCUUCAUUUAGACCAGGGGAGCUGGCAGAACCCCAGCCCUGAUAGCUGACCUUUCUUUCUGCCAGAAUUCUGAGAAAUCUCUUAAAUACGGGGAAGCCUGACUCUCUUAAACCUUCCUUCUUCUUUUCCCAAGAGUGUUUGGACACAUGCACAGAGCGUGUAGGGCAACCACAAAGCCUGCCUUCUAUACCUGAACUCUUGCUUGACGGCAAACAUUUGGUCCACGGUCCCACAGCAGCUGUUCCCAGCUUCAGCUCACUUGCUACUUCCCAGGGCAAUCUAACUCUGAAAGCGUGCUGAUUCUCCCAGGGCCUGUCCCCUUUCUCCAAGGACGCUUCAGUCCUGCCACAUGUUUUCUCUGCCUCUCUUACAAGUCCUAGGCUAGGCUUCCUCCAGGAACCCAACCCACUUCCUUUUUCCAGUUCUUCAGGAAAAUUAGGAACUGGAAACGGUUACCAAAGCACAUUCCCUGGCUGCCUGAAAAGUACAUGCCCUUUUCGGUUAGGUGACAGACCAGAAACACACAGGAUCAAAGCGGUCAGUUACACUAGGAAACAUUUACUAUACUAGCCACUGAGGAUGAUGCAUGGUCAGAGAAUGAACCUGACUUGUUGGUAACUUGAGCUCGCUUUUCGGGAAAAAGACUGGUAGAAUGUGUAAUAGAUGGGAGUAAUUUACAAAAUUCUUUACAAGCUGAAAAUUGCCACUGAUGGCUUUGACCGGCACAAAAGUAUCUGUGUUUGUUUUUCAGGGUGAGCAGUCCACGUAAGGCUGUUCUUCACAAAGCACUUUUUAAAAAAUAAAUGUACUGGGGCGCCUGGGUGGCUCAGUCGGUUGAGCAUCUGACUUAGGCUCAGGUCAUGAUCUCACGGCUCGUGGGUUCCAGCCCCGCAUUGGGCUCUUUGCUGACAGCACGGAGCCUGGAGCCUGCUUCGGAUUCUGUGUCUCCCUCUCUCUCUGUCCCUCCCCCAGUCAUGCUCUGUCUCUC